CUUGAUCGACCCGAGUAGCAGCGGCGCGGCGUCGCCCCGGUCCUGCCCGUACGUCGCCAGGAGCGCCUGCGCCUC
rfam:Micromonospora carbonacea strain JXNT-1 contig1, whole genome shotgun sequence.